GAAAUGCGAUAAGUAAUGUGAAUUGCAGAAUUCAGUGAAUCAUCGAAUCUUUGAACGCACAUUGCGCCCGCCAGUAUUCUGGCGGGCAUGCCUGUUCGAGCGUCAUUUCAACCAUCAAGCCCCCGGGCUUGUGUUGGGGACCUGCGGCUGCCGCAGGCCCCGAAAACCAGUGGCGGGCUCGCUGUCACACCGGGCGUAGUAGAUUUUUCGUCUCGCCCAGGGCGUGCUGCGGGUUCCGGCCGUUAAAAAGCCUCUCUUUUAACCCAAGGUUGACCUCGGAUCAGGUAGGAAGACCCGCCGAACUUAAGC
rnacentral:misc_RNA from 1 species